GCUUGUAGUCGUUAAUCGGUAGGAAUCCUAAGUUCUGAGCAUCGGUUGCUGUAUUAACAAGGGGCUAAAGAUUUCCAGCUUCACUGGCUUUAACAACAUAGGCAUUUCGAGAUUGUGAUCACUAGAAAUUAUUAUCUGUCAACAAAUAGCGCAAGAUCAGGAUCAACCGCACUGCUUGCAACUUUACCUUGGGGCAGAUGAAUGCAGUUGGGCUGACUGAGGUGAAGUUUGCUGGGCAGUAGAAUCCUUCAGCGCACUCUCCUGUAGAUUUCAUUAUGUGGAACCUGAGAGAAAUGAUUGCACCAACCUAUUUGUAUUUGUGUGGGUGUUAUUGCAAAAACUUCCAAUCUGUGACUUUAAUGCACUUUCAAUCACCAACCUCACAAGGAGUCAUAGAUGGAGUUCAAGCAACAUCAUCAGAGGAUGGACAAGCUUCUGGGGUUCUCAAGACCUUAAAGGGACACUCAGGUUAUAUUAAAUUUUCAUGAUUCAGAUACAGCAUGUAAUUUUAAACAACUUUCCAAUUUACUUCCAUUUAAAAAAAAUGUGCACAGUCUUUUAUAUUUACAAUUUUUGAGUCACCAGAUCCUACUGAGCAUGUGCAAGAAUUCACAGACUAUACUUAUAUGCAUUUGUGAUUGGUUGAUUGCUAUCACAUGGUACAAGGGGAGUAGAAAUAUAUAUCACUUUGAAAUGUGUUAUAAAUAAAUCUAUUACUCAUUUGAAGUUCA